GGGACGUUAGCUCAGGUGGUAGAGCACCGCCCUUUUAAGGCGGGAGUCGCUGGUUCGAGUCCAGCACGUCUCA
rnacentral:tRNA from 1 species